GUCCGCACCAGGCCAGCCUCUGAGAAUGUGACUGUAGAGCAGAUUUUUGAAUGACUCUACCAGGUAUUCAAGUCACAUUCUCAAUCGGAGGUACGUCUCCGGCUGUAUGAAAGGCGACAGAAACCAGCUAUUCAAGUAAUUGAGUCCGGGACUGAGUCUUAUUCCAGAAUUGAACCAGAAGGGAACAAAAGGGAACUAACUCAACAUUAUAACUACAAAAAGUACGAGUACAAGACAUCAGGUCGGUGACCAUGCAACCCAACACAGAGACCAUCAUCUGGUGCCGUGCACGUCCUGGAGUAAGGAACAAGGACUAUCAAGCCCUGCUGGAGCCUAUGCAAAUGGAAGAUCAUCCCCUUGUACGAGCUGCGAGAAGCCUUGUCACAGUUACCAAUGGGAGAGUCCCAUUCUGGUUAGUC